GCCCCUGUAGCUCAAUAGGAUCAGAGCGAGACGGUCCUAACGUCUAGGUUGAGGGUUCGAGUCCCUCCAGGGGCACAA
rnacentral:tRNA from 1 species